rnacentral:lncRNA from 1 species
CCGGGAGCACCGCGGAGCCGUCGCCGUGGCGGAUGUCCAGGUCCUGGAGCGUGACCAGGGAGAAAGGCCUGGAAAUGAUCACCGGACCAACUCAAAAUUACAGUUUUCCAGAACUUACAUACCUUCUAAGCGGUAUGUCUACGUGUAAGUGUGCAUGCAUCUGAAGACAUUAGUGAUGAACUUACGGUCAUCUGUGAGUCCUGAAGACCUUCCUCUGGAGCCUCAAUAAGGUUACUGAAUCUAAAUGGGUCCAGAUGCUGGGGGGAUUACCUUUAUCUUGUCUCCUGCUAAAUCAGGAGGUUUGGGGAGUGCCUUCAGACCCUCAAUAAACUUGUUUCUGGAGGCGUGGGGAGCUUCUUCAGACCCACAAAAAAACUCGUUUAACCCUAAAAGGGUCCUGAUAAGAAUUAAUUUGUUAUUUUGUCCUGCUUUAAGGCCCAGGGAAGGCCUAGGCAAAACUCUCGGUGGGCUCUUUGUUACUUUCCAGCCUUUGUAUAAGGGCACUGGCUCUAUCAGCUUUUAAUGUUUAAUCUAGCUACUCAGUCAGUGCUGGGACAGUUGUAAUGGAGGCCUGCGUUAGUGAGACCUGGCCUGCCACACUGCCACCGAGACAGGGAUCCCGGGAGUCUAGGCCUGGCACGCUCCAAGUCCCUUACCUCCUGCACUCCUCUUGUCUGGGCCCUGCCUUUGCUCCUGGGGGUCCUGGUGCCGGGUCAGCCCCGCCAGCUCCUGGUCCCAGGCCUGGCUCAAGGGUGGCCCAGGGAACUGCCAGGCCUGCUUGGCCUGUCACCCAUACUGGGCCUGACCACCAGCUGGGUCCCUAGAUCAGGCUGUGGCUCUGCUCCCCCUUCCAAAGGGAGCCCUUUCUGUCUUUGGACCAGAAGGUAACCUGAUCUCUUCUUGGCCAACCUGAGAAAUGCUGGAAUUUCUCCAUUUCAGAUCCAGCCUCCAGGCCUUGCUCAAGGUCAGGCUUGGCUGGGUUGCUGGGGCCUCUCCAGGCAGGGAGGCCCCCAGGCUCAAGGGCAGGUGAAGGGGACACCUGCCAGGGAACUUCAGACUGAGGUCCUAAGUGACGGGUACUCCCCUCCCUGUCCCCCUGGAGUCGCUCAUACCCAGGCCUUCACUCUAGCUCCCUCCAGCCCCCGGGGCACUUUAUAAAAUGUAAAUCACCCAUCCCUCCUCCACUUAAGCCCUCUCUACUUGAUAAAGUCAUGACUUCACACCAUGGCCUAAGAGCAGAGUGAUGACAAAACUCACCAUCCAAACCUGGUCACCUUCGGAAGUGAGAGAGUGCCCAUUCACGUGACAGUGGGCAUGAACCUGGGAAGCCGGGCAAAGCCAGCUUGGGGCCACCCUACUUAAAAAGAAGGUCCUCAGGUUCUGGCCUCCCCACCCCCUUCCUCCCAUGGGCCUUCAUCUUUCUCACUUCACAGAUUUUUUUUUUUUUUUUUUUUUGGACAGGGCCUUGCUGUGUCACCCAGGCUGGAGUGCAGUGGUGUGAUCAUAGCUCACUGUGAGGCAGGAAAUUAAGGAAAGAAAGAAUAAUAAAAUUUUAAAAAGAGAAAAAUAAGCUUUCUAUAUUAGGCUGACUCAUCCCAAAGGCAGUAACAGACAAAGCCCAGACCCAGACGAAGUCUUGAUAACAUCAUCAAAGAAGCAGAGGCUCAAAGGAGUGUGCUCUGGAGACUCUCCCAGCACUCCCUCAACAUAAGGAUAAGAAAAAGUUCCCCCUCGAACCCCAACCCCCUCCAUGUGAUUGUACCUUGCUCUGCAAGUUUUAUGAAUUUAUAGAUUCUUGUUUUCUGUAACUAGAAACUUCAAGUAUUCUGUUUUAUCUAAGCAGCACAGUGAAGGUUAUACAACAUGCCUGAGCAGGCCUGGGCUGCGGCCUUCUGGGCCCCAUAGCGAAGGUUAUGAGAUAAGCCUGUGCAAGGCUCUUUUAAGCAAGCCUAGAUAACAGCCAUCUGGACUGCAUAGCAAGAAUUACAUGUAACCCUGGGUUAUGCACCUGUCACAAUUUGAUUAACUGCCUAUGUUCUGUCUCUGUAUCCUUGCUUUCAUGCCACUGUAAGCUUGUUUCAAACUAGCCCACUCCCGUUCAAAGGUGUGUAUAUGAGUCAAGUGCUGUCUUUGUUCUGGGCCCAGUUUUUGGAUGUUAAUCCACUGGGUCUGAGUGCACUCAAUAAAAUUCUCAUGUCCCACCUACCUGUCUCUCCAGUCUCCUGAUUCCCACAACAACCGCAGCCUGUAGCUGGGACUACAGCUACAUUCUUUAAAUUUUGUAGAGAUGGGGUCUUGCUAUGUUGCUCAUGCUGGUCUCCUACUUCUAGCCUCAAGUGAUACUCCCACCUCAGCCUUCCAAAGUGCUGUGAUUACAGGCGUGAGCCACCAUGCUGGGGCACUUCACCCAGCCUUCUUGCUAGUUCUUGAUUUCAAGGGUGAAGGGGCAGGUU